GAUGAACGCUGGCGGCGUGCUUAACACAUGCAAGUCGAACGGUGAAGCAGGAGCUUGCUCUUGUGGAUCAGUGGCGAACGGGUGAGUAACACGUGAGCAACCUGCCCCUGACUCUGGGAUAAGCGCCGGAAACGGCGUCUACUACUGGAUAUGUGAUGUGACCGCAUGGUCUGCAUCUGGAAAGAAUUUCGGUUGGGGAUGGGCUCGCGGCCUAUCAGCUUGUUGGUGAGGUAAUGGCUCACCAAGGCGUCGACGGGUAGCCGGCCUGAGAGGGUGACCGGCCACACUGGGACUGAGACACGGCCCAGGCUCCUACGGGAGGCAGCAGUGGGGAAUAUUGCACAAUGGGCGGAAGCCUGAUGCAGCAGCGCCGCGUGAGGGAUGACGGCCUUCGGGUUGUAAACCUCUUUUAGCAGGGAAGAAGCGAAAGUGACGGUACCUGCAGAAAAAGCACCGGCUAACUACGUGCCAGCCGCCGCCGUAA
rnacentral:rRNA from 1 species